rnacentral:rRNA from 1 species
GUGUUCCUACGGGGGGCAGCAGUGGGGGAUAUUGCACAAUGGGGGGAACCCUGAUGCAGCGACGCCGCGUGGGUGAAGGAGGCCUUCGGGUCGUAAAGCUCUGUCCUCAAGGAAGAUAAUGACGGUACUUGAGGAGGAAGCCCCGGCUAACUACGUGCCAGCAGCCGCGGUAAUACGUAGGGGGCUAGCGUUAUCCGGAAUUACUGGGCGUAAAGGGUGCGUAGGUGGUUUCUUAAGUCAGAGGUGAAAGGCUACGGCUCAACCGUAGUAAGCCUUUGAAACUGGGGAACUUGAGUGCAGGAGAG